UGAAAGACGUGGUAGCCUGCGAAAAGCUUCGGGGAGUCGGCAAACAGACUUUGAUCCGGAGAUGUCUGAAUGGGGGAACCCAGCCAUCAUAAGAUGGUUAUCUUAAGCUGAAUACAUAGGCUUAAGAAGCGAACCAGGGGAACUGAAACAUCUAAGUACCCUGAGGAAAAGAAAUCAACCGAGAUUCCCUUAGUAGUGGCGAGCGAACGGGGACUAGCCCUUAAGUGGCUUUGAGAUUAGCGGAACGCUCUGGAA
rnacentral:rRNA from 1 species